GAAACGCUUCAUAGUCUUCCUCCUGCCUCUCUCCAUUGUCUGGCAAUAAAAUCUUCCUCCAAAACGAUGUCGCUUAGUGGCUUCUCCGGCGGCAGCGGCGGCGGCGGCCCUGGUGGUGGCUCCGCCGCUCCUCAGUCCUACUUCUGCUACCAGUGCAACCUUACGGUCUCCAUCACCCCUUCUCCCACCUCCGAUCCUCUCUGCCCUCAUUGCAACGAUGGCUUUCUCGAGGAGGUUGAAAACCCUAAUCCUAACCCUAUCCCCGUCCCAAUCCCCAAUCCCUUCUUAGGUUUCUCCGAUUUGCCCUCUCUAUCCGCAGCCGGCGCCACAGCCACUGCCUUCCCUCCGCUUGUCUUCUCAACCGCUGCCGGAGGGAGCAUCGAUCUCCAGAACUCCGUCGAUUUCCCCGGUCUGUUCGGGGAAGACCCCGAUGCGUUCCACCCCUUUGCUUUCCUACAGAAUUAUCUGCAAACCCUAAGGGCAGGUGGCACGAACGUUCAAUUUGUGAUUGACGGUAACUCGCCGGAGGGUACGUUCCGGCUUUCGCCAAACCUCGGGGACUACUUCAUUGGACCGGGGCUGGAGCAGCUGAUCCAGCAGCUGGCGGAGAACGAUCCGAACCGGUACGGUACGCCGCCGGCAUCGAAAUCAGCGAUUGAGGGGCUUCCGACCAUUCGGAUUACGGUGGAAUUGUUGGGAACGGAUUCGUCGCAGUGUGCGGUGUGCAAGGACAGCUUUGAGCUCGAUGAGGAGGCCAAGCAGAUGCCUUGUAAGCACAUUUACCAUAACGAUUGCAUUCUACCUUGGUUGGAACUGCAUAAUUCGUGUCCGGUCUGUCGGUACGAGUUGCCCACCGAUGAUCCCGACUACGAGCACCGCACUCGGGGUGGCCAAGUCAAUCAAACUGGCGGAAAUGCUGCUGCGGUGGCUGCUGCUGGGGCUGCUUCGAACUCAGCUUCUGGUGCUGCUGGUGGGGCAGCAGUUUCUGGAGAGAAUCCGAAUCCUCAGACCCCUAGGACUGGAGAAAGGAUGUAUAGGAUCUCAUUUCCAUGGCCGUUUCGGACAUUUGGAUCCCCUGCUGAGACUAGCAACAGCAACAAUGAUGGGGAAUCGGGGAACAGGGCAAAUCAGGGGUCUGGAUCAGAAAACAGGCAAGGAGAUCAGACUUGAGGAAUAUGGGUAGAAGAGUCUGCUCAAUGAGAUGGUGGUCUGCAGGGAUAGAAAGGACACUAUUAGGUUCAGGCUGGAUGGAACUGGGGGAGAUUCACUGUCAAGUCCCUUGUUCAGGCAAUAUGUAGUAGGAAGAGUAGAAGCUUUCUAACUUCUAUUCUUUUAUGUGGUAGCAGCCCCCUCUGAGGCGAAGUAGUGCUUCCCUCAUAGGAUGGAGAAAAAUCCUCACUAUGAUCAAUUAAUGAGGAGAAGAAAGAUUGGUUUUGAAGCUGAAGGACAUCUGAAAGAUGUCUAGUAUGAAGAAAUGUAACAAAAAGCUAUUGCACUAUCCAUAUUUGAUGAACAUGACGAGGUAAUGGGUUAUUUAUGAAUUCCUGCAAAUUGGCAGCUAAAAUAAACUUGAAGGAUGGUACAUGGUUAUGUAAGAGAUAUGGUAAGAGAAAGGGGUUCAAAUCUGUAACCAUUGUUGAACAUAGAAACAAUCUUCUUCUUAUACAUCGAAGACUAGUGACAGAUGUUUUUUUCAUUUUAUGUUUGGGCAUAAUAAUAAUGGGUAAAUGUCUUUUAUUUUCAUUUUCAGAUUUCUUCAUCAUAUCACCAUUUCAGGAUGAAUUAUUUAGCUGCAUACCAUAUAAUUUUGUCUGGGAACCAUUUUAUAUUUUUCUUUCAAGAGUCUCACACUUUUGUGCAGUU